GGUUCAGGAUGAACGCUAGCUACAGGCUUAACACAUGCAAGUCGAGGGGCAGCAUGAUCGAAGCUUGCUUGAUGAUGGCGACCGGCGCACGGGUGAGUAACGCGUAUCCAACCUUCCCUAUAGUAGAGAAUAGCCCGGCGAAAGUCGGAUUAAUGCUCUAUGUUGUAUUUAGAAGACAUCUGAAGAAUACCAAAGGUUUACCGCUAUAGGAUGGGGAUGCGUCUGAUUAGGUAGUAGGCGGGGUAACGGCCACCUAGCCGACGAUCAGUAGGGUUCUGAGAGGAAGGUCCCCCACAUUGGAACUGAGACACGGUCCAAACUCCUACGGGAGGCAGCAGUGAGGAAUAUUGGUCAAUGGACGGAAGUCUGAACCAGCCAAGUAGCGUGCAGGAUGACGGCCCUAUGGGUUGUAAACUGCUUUUAUAUAGGGAUAAAGUCGGGGACGUGUCCCCGUUUGUAGGUACUAUAUGAAUAAGGACCGGCUAAUUCCGUGCCAGCAGCUGC
rnacentral:rRNA from 1 species